AACCUGCCCAAGAGAUCGGGAUAACACCUGGAAACAGAUGCUAAUACCGGAUAACAACAGAUGAUGCCUAUCAACUGUUUAAAAGAUGGUUCUGCUAUCACUCUUGGAUGGACCUGCGGUGCAUUAGCUAGUUGGUAGGGUAACGGCCUACCAAGGCGAUGAUGCAUAGCCGAGUUGAAGAAGAACUAGAAUACGGACCACAAUUGGGACUGAGACACGGCCCAAACUCCUACGGGAGGCAGCAGAC
rnacentral:rRNA from 1 species